rnacentral:rRNA from 1 species
GACGAACGCUGGCGGCGUGCCUAAUACAUGCAAGUCGAACGCAGUGGGGACGGGUGAGUAACACGUGGGUAACCUCCCAUCAGAGGGGAUAACACUUCGAAACAGGUGCUAAACCGAUACUGAUGGAUGGACCCGCGGUGCAUUAGCUAGUUGGUGAGGUAACGGCUCACCAAGGCCACGAUGCAUAGCGCACCUGGGAGGAUGAUGGGCCACACUGGGACUGAGACACGGCCCAGACUCCUACGAGAGGGAGCAGUAGGGAAUCUUCGGCAAUGGACGAAAGUCAGACCGAGCAAAGCCGCAUGAGUGAAGAAGGUUUUCGGAUCGUAAAACUCUGUUGUUAGAGAAGCGGUAUCUAACCAGAAAGCCACGGCUAACUACGUGCCAGCAGCCGCGGUAAUUC